GAUGAACGCUGGCGGCGUGCCUAAUACAUGCAAGUCGAGCGAACAGACGAGGAGCUUGCUCCUCUGACGUUAGCGGCGGACGGGUGAGUAACACGUGGAUAACCUACCUAUAAGACUGGGAUAACUUCGGGAAACCGGAGCUAAUACCGGAUAACAUGUUGAACGUCAGGGUUCAACAGUGAAGGAGGGUUUUGCUGUCACUUAUGAAGGAUUCCGCUUCGCAUUAGCUAGUUGGUAAGGUAACGGCUUACCAAGGCAACGAUGCGUAGCCGACCUGAGAGGGUGAUCGGCCACACUGGAACUGAGACACGGUCCAGACUCCUACGGGAGGCAGCAGUAGGGAAUCUUCCGCAAUGGGCGAAAGCCUGACGGAGCAACGCCGCGUGAGUGAAGAAGGUCUUCGGAUCGUAAAACUCUGUUAUUAGGGAAGAACAAAUGUGUAAGUAACUAUGCACGUCUUGACGGUACCUAAUCAGAAAGCCACGGCUAACUACGUG
rnacentral:rRNA from 1 species